UCGACGACGGUCCACUGUGAACGCCGAAGCCUGGGCCGGCGCCUUCGUGCCUUGGAGAGGAUCUGCAGUUUUCUCUGUUUAAGGAAGGUUGUAGCGCUCUGUGUCCUCCUGAGCGCUAGGACGGUCCUGGGCUGGACAAAGGAAUCGGACGGUCAGAGGAGAGAGGCAAAGGAAGUUCUGCCUUAGAACUGAGCUACUGUGCUGAUUUUCUUCCGAUUCUCUUUCAAGGAUACUUGGAAUAAGGUGGCUUGACGGAGACACCCCACCACCAGCCGACUGCUUUUGUCUUGUGGGCCUACGUGUUUCCGUUUUCUUCUAAUAACUAGGGUGAUUACUUCCUACUGGUAGGUGUCGGGUCGAAAGUCCAGCUUUUGUGACAUUAGGAGAUGAUCCAAGUGGUUGAAGGACCGGUUAUUUGUUCCCCAGGCGCGGCAGAUCUGAGCCACCGUCACCCAGGGCUGGGACCCGAGGCUUGGGGAUAGCAGCAGGAGCCACCCUCCCUUAUCUAGGUUUGCAGAUUCGUGGCAAUCCCCUUUCAAGGACAGCAGCCAAAAAGCACAGCCUAGAGCAACCAAGGACCCCCACGUUGUCAGGCAUAGUGAUUAACCCAGCCGAGCAUCCUGAAGGGCCGCUGUUUAAGCUCCUGCCUGGUGCCUGCUGAGUACCUGACUUCCUGCUCAAAGGCUUGCCCAUCUGAGCCCUCAUACAGGUACCUCAUAUAGAAGACGGAUGCUAUCUGCUUCAUUUUGGGGUCAUUCGGGAAAGGUGUACUGAGCAUCUACAAGGCAUCUGCAGUUUGAAGCUCCCGUCCAGAUCCCAGGGUGCCUCUGUACACACCACUGGCCAUCUGUAGGGCAAAUAAUGAGCAAAACCAGAUAGAUGCUGGUUUGCAGAGCCACAGGAAGAAUCCACAACGGCAGCAGCCUCGAGACAGGAGUGCUGAUCGGGGUCCAGGAAUUGUUGCCUCCCUGUAUUGAAGGGUCAGGUCCUGAGUUCAAUUCCCAGCAACCACGUGGUGGAUCACAAGCAUCUAUAGUGUGAUCUGAUGCCCUCUUCUGCAAUGCAGGCAGGUGGACCUGGGCUAUGUAUGAAAGCUAGCUGAGGGAAUAAGACAGUGAGAAGCAUUCUUCCCUGGUUCCUGCCUCCAGUCUCCUGCCUUGGUUAACUUGAUGGAUGGGAAGACUGCAGACCACAAGUCGACCCCUGAAGCUGUAUCGUCUUCAUUCCCAAGACUCCCACCACCUCUAUAAAGGGUCCCUACACAGACCUCCCUGUUUCCCCACAGGAAUGAGGCUGCCCCCCACAGGGUGUGCUAAUAAACACACUCUGAUCUGUUGAUAUCUGUCUCCUCUGUAUUAUGCCAGGAUCAAGGGACCCUCAGAGACCACCAGGAGACAACUCGAUGCAAGAGCGAGAGAGCUUUAUUACAAGAGUGAUUGAACUUGGGACCCAAGUCUCACUGACACAGCAGUAGAGAAGUGGGACCUUGGGUGAGCAGGGUUUUUAGAGGGAAAAAUCACCAGCAGGGGGUUUCCAUGACAGUAAGCAGGAGGGUUCAUGCCUUGAAGUUACAGGAUUGGGUAAAAGCCAUAGGGGUGAGGUGACUUUUUACAUAAUAACAAUUGCCAUUCUUCUAAAUUACAUCUGGAAUGUUGGGGAGAAUUUUCCCAAACGAUUCUCAUUGAUUAUUGCUAGGGAGAUUGUCUCUAUUUUCUAUCAAGUAUUUAUUCUCUGAUAUUCCCUAGAGGCUGUUGCUAGGAGAGUUAACUUUGUUUUCUACCAAGUGCACAUUCUGUGAUAUUUCCUGGUACCUGAGUUCAGCUCCCGGGCAAGAUGGCUCCUCAUUUCAAAAUGGAGUCACCCAGGCAAACUUAAACUCUUCACUCUGCCUUCUGAUUCUUCCCGCUCUGAAAUCUAACAUCAAACUGUCACCACAUAGGACAUGGAAUCUAGGGUAACCCAAAUCUUGUUCUGAGGCCAAAGUCACUCAUAUUUGGCUUCAGAAUAAAUUACUUCUUAUCCUUUUCAAGGUGAGAGCUGUGGUUAUUUUUCAACAAUGUUCAGAUUCUAGAAUCCAUGGCUGUUGGAGCUGAGAUUAAGCAGAAUUUCACCUUCUAAUUUCUAGGGUGAAAUGUUUCUUUUUCUUUGUGUGUGUGUGUGUGUGUGUGUGUAUGUAGUCCUGGCUGGCCUGGAACUCUUUAUGUAGACUAGGCUGGCCUUGAGCUCAUAGAAAUCCACCUACCUCUGCCUGCUGAGGGCUAGGAUAAAAGGUGUGGGCCUCUACAACUGGCAAAAAUAAAAGACAAAACUGUUCUUUGCUUUCAGGAACCUUCAAAGCUGGGCAUGGCAGCACUUACAUACUUUCUGCUUAGCACAGAAGCAGAGGCAGAGGCAGAGGCAAGGGAAUUGCUGCAGGUUCUAGGCUAGCAUGACUUACAUAGUUCCGUGUGAUGUAUUUCAAAAACAAAACAAAACAAAAAAACAAAGCAAACUCCACAAACAAACUAUAAAGUAGAAAGAACCGCCUUUCCAAAGAAAUCGAAUGCCUUGCUGUCUGCUUUUUGGUUGUAGAGGUGGAGCCUAUUGAGUAGAUGAGUCACGGCCUCCAAGGCCCCUGUCUAUACUCACUUCCUUUGCUGAAGGGAAUGAUCUAGAUCUGAUACUUGCCUACAACUCAGUGGGAGCCUGUGAUUUAGGGAGGAGACAGUGUUACCUCCCCCCCCUUCUCUUUCAGAAGUUCCUCAGGUCAGUAUUUCUGAAUGGCUCCUUCCCGGCAGAGGCAGAAUACCACUCAUUUGUGGGGAGAGAAAGUACCUUUAUAUGCUAUUUGCAAGCUUUGCCUGUCUUUACUGAGAACAGGAGACCCUCCCACGCUGCACAGUUUUUUUGUUUUUUUUUUUUUUUGAAGGCUCUCCUCCGGACGUUGGGAAGUCCUUCUAAGAAAGCAAGCCUUUCUUCACCUUUGAAAGGCUAUUCAGAUCCAUACUGUGUGAACCGGCUUUAUAUUCAGCUUCGUAUUGUGUGAAUCGGCCUGAAUAGUCAGGCAAAAUCUGCAUGUGAUAGUACCCCAAAGGGCACACAGCUUUUGAAAGGUAUUCAGAACAAUAACGAGAGGUAAGAACCUGAGGAAAGGGUGUAUGAGGAGUCUUUAAGUUUUAGAAUACAUGGCAAGUUCCCACAACAAAUGGCUCCCCCACCCCACCCCAUCCCAGGAUUACUUCCUGAAGUGCUUUUUAUCCCUGGUACACAUCAGGAAAUACAUGUAGUAGUUAUACUCAAUGUGUUUCCUAAGACACACACAGUAUCGCACACCUGUAAUCCCGGCACUGGGUGCCAUGUCAACCUAGGUUACUUAGGGAGACCCUGCGUUUUGUUUAAAGUACAUUUCUUCCUUCCUUCCUUCUUUUCUUCCUUCCUUCCUUUUCUUUUUUUCUAUCUUUCUUCUUUCUUUUUUUGAGACAGGGUCUCUCUCUAUAGCCCUGGCUGUCCUAAAACUCACUAUAUUGACCAGGCUGGCCUUAAACUCACUACAGUGAUCUGCCUACCUCCGCCUCCUGAGUGCUGGAAUUAAAGGUUGUUAAUCCCAUAGAUUUGAGGAAAAAGAUUACCAAUCCAAUUCAUGACCAAAUUAAUUAAAGCAAACUUUUUUUUUUAAUUCAUGUAUGUGGGCUCUUUCUCCUUAAAGGUGAGAUUCAAGAGAUCAUCAUGGAUAUGGGUAAAAUAAGUUUUUGUUUGUUUGUUUGUUUUUAUAGUUCAGGAGUAGCAGAUUUCAAAUGGGUUUGUUGGACAAAUACGCAGGGUUACAGAAACAGAACAUAAGCAUAACAAGUUUGUCAUAACAAGUGCCCGAGACUAACAAAAACAACCAAAAUGGUUUGGGAGAUGGGCUGGAGAGAUGGCUCAGAGGUUAAGAGCACUAGGCUGUUCUUCCUAAGGUCCUGAGUCAAGUUCCCAGCAACCACAUAGUGAGAUCCAGUGUCCUCUUCUGGUAUGCAGGCACACAUGCAGACAGAACACUGUAGAAAUAAUAAAUCUUUUUUAAAAGGAAGGAAAAGAAAAACAAACCUCCUGAGACAAAGACAUGGUUUCAAGGUGGUCAUAACAAGACAGCCAUACCAAGGUGGUUAUGACAAGAUGGUCAUAACAAGCUGGAACAAAGACCUGGUUACAAGGUGGUCACAGCAAGGUGGUCAUAAUAAGGUGGUCAUAACAACCUUUUGAAACAAUGGCACGGCUGCCAUUUCCUGGAACAGGCAAUACAGAACCAUGUGUAGUUAAGGUUAAGGUGGGCAGAGCCCAAUCCUUGAGAAACAGGGGUUUAAUCAUAAACAGGAAUGAGCCUAUUUUGUCCUCACUGUAAGAUGGAUUUCAACCCUAAGAUGGAGGCAGGCUGGUUUAUCAAGCUGUGACUCACCACACCCAGCCUAGGUUGCACUUCUUAUCUGUAUUUACUUUUGUUUUCUUUUGUUUAUUACUAUGUCUUAGCUUUUUAAUUUUUUUGAGAUUUAUUUAUUUUCUUUUAUUUGUCCGAGGGUUUUGCCUGCAUGUGUGUAUUUGUACCAUGGGUGUGCUUGAUGCCUCAGUAGGUCAGAGGCAUGGGAUCCAUUGGAACUGUUUUAGAAAGCUGAGGGUUUUGUUGUUGUUGUUUGUUUUGUUUUGUUUUUGAGACAGGAUCUCUCUGUGUAGCCUUGGCUGUCCUAGAACUCACUUUGUUGACCAGGCUGGCCUCAAACUCAGAGAUCUACCUGCCUCUGCCUCCUGAGUGCUAGGGUUAAAGGGGUGCAUCACCACUGCCCAGCAAAGCUCAGGCUGGCCUCAAAUUCAUUAUUCCAAGAGUGACCUUGAAUUUCUGGUUCUCUUGUCUCCCUGUUUAGUUCUGGGAUUACAAGCAUGCACCACCUCACUAGGCUUAUGCAGUGCUGGAGAUUGAACCCGGGGCUUCCAACGAGCACUUUGUUAACACAGCCGCAGUCUCAACCCCUGUGCUGUCAGUUAAAAAGUGUGAAACAGUAUGGGAAAAGAUCACCAGUUCUUAGCCGUAUGUAGCAAAUGCCUCCCCCCCACACACACACACACUACCUGCCCAGUAGCUAUGGAAUCUACCUUUUUUUUUUUUUUUUUGUAAGAUCCUUUGUGGGUUCAUCUCCUCUCUUCUCCCCUUUUUUCUUUAGGUGCUGGAGGUCCUGCCUAAGUCUCUUCUCCCCUCCUCCACUGAAAUGCUAGCCAAAUACUCAGCAAUACCCCAGGCCUGAGUGGGUUUCCUAGACAGGAAGCUGGAAAGCCAGCUUUGGGAGACAUAAAUGAAAAAAGUCAUAUACCUCAAGCUCUCUUCCAGCCACUGUAUUUCAGGAUGGGACAGAAGAAAAUGUUCCAGACAAGAAAGGGCAAUCAACUCUGAGAGACAGACCCCCAGACGCCCAGACGCCCAGGACUCAGAGGACAGAUACAGAAACACAGUCAGAUACCGAUGAAGCUGAGUCCUCUUAGAGGCCGCUGCGGGAGAAACAGAGCUCGUGCGGUGUAGCAGGAACUCUGUGAGUCGUCAGGUAACCCACCGGCGUGCGGAUCUCAGUCUUAACAAUUCCUCAGGGUCUAACUCCUCCCCCAACUUUCUACCCAGUAAAUACAUCCUGAAAGUAAGUACGCAAUUAGGUGAAGGUUUGUCCACCAAUAGACUUAAUCCUUUAUUGCCUCCCUGUGGUGAGUGGAAUUGGCGUGGCGGAGCCGAGGCCAAGAGGUGUGAAUCCAAAAGGUUAAGGCGGAUCUGCCCGGCAGUCGGCCUCUACCGUGGAGGGCCGGGGGUGCAGCCUGGCGCAGUCCAUCUCAGAACCAGCACAUCUCUGGAAGCAGAGCCAGCUGGGACGCAGCUUCGGAGGCAGAACGGUAGCGGGGGGAUGUGCUCCCCACCCCCCUCCCCCCACUCCUAGAGUAGGUUGGUCCUGGUGGAAUACCGAGAUAAAAGCCCAUCCGACCCCUGGGGUUCAGACGAGCAGGGUUUGGUUGGCCUCCUUGGGCACCGCGGAGAACACUUGGCCUUAAGAGAUCGGCCAUCUUGUCUUUGAGGGCUCAAGGUCAUCCCAGCCCUAGACUACCCUUAAAAGAUGCAAAUUUCGGAGUAUUCUUUCUUAGGAAUCCGGAAAAUCAGAGCGGCACCGCGGUGUAGCCGCAGGAGGCAGAUCCCGGCAGUUCUGCUCGUGACCAGCAGAGGGCAGCAAAGACAGUUCCUAUGCUGCUCUCUCUUUCCGUCCUUGAAAAAUAAAACAACCCGCUGUGACUCUAGAAAGAAUUUCAGACUUGUCACCCUUGGAGGCCCAGGGUCACACAGGCACCACACCCAAGCUGCUCCGAGAGAGGGAGUCGUAGAGACGCCCUUCCUGAACCACCAGCGUGGGUCACCCUGGCAGUGUGCUUUUCUGACGAAUUGUUAAGCUUGAGAUUGGGGAACUGUUGGAAAUCUCGGCCUUGUAGCCGGUUGGCUAGAAGCGGCAGUUAAGGAGCAUGGAGGGACAUCUGAACUCAGGAAGUCUUGCGAGGCUGAAAUCUUAGCCCUUGGAGCUCUCUUUGUAACCAAAGACGCCUCUGAACUCCCCCUGCAGGCUCCACUUCCCAAACGCUGGGCUUACCAGCCUGCGCCACCCCACUUGGCAGCCUGUGGGAUCUGAUGCCAGUUCCAGGUGGGUAAUAGAAUGGCGUCUGAGUUCCAACGUUUGGGAGACUCUCAGAGCUUCCGUAUCCAGAGUUAGGUGAAUUAGCCUCACCCUGGGAAAGCUACCUUUGUGAUCAUGGCUUCUCCCCUGCCUGGUAUCUCAACUGACCUCCCAAAGGUGAGGGAAGGGGCAGGCACUCUCCUGUUCCACAUAGUGGGUAUCUCUCUCUCUCUCUCUCUCUCUCUCUCUCUCUCUCUCUCUCUCUUAGUUUUUAGAGACAGGGUUUCUCUAUGUAGCCUUGACUGUCCUUCAUCAAGCUGUUAGAACAUUAGAACAUGGGAUUUGGGGUGAUUUGAAUCUGUUCAUGGGCCAUGGUCACUCACAUUUGGCCUGUGAAAAAACUACUUCGCCUUUGAGGCGUUAGCUGCGUCUUCGUGCUGCCAUGCUCCUUGUGAGUGGAGGGCUUUGUGUCUCAGAGACCCUGUCCUCAGGAGCCUGAAGAAUCGGAGGUCACGUCAUGGCCCGGCAUAUGAGACAUGGAGCAGGAUCCUCCACAAACAACCUGUCCCUACAUUCCUGAUCUCCAUAAGCUCAGAACUCCUGGAACCAGAGGAGGUCCUGGACCGCUCUUCCCAGCAGCAGAGGGGACUGAUCCCUGCGUCUCCCUGAGCAGGAUUUCGGGGCUUCAGCAACAAUAGGGCUGGACAGCAGAAGUGUGAAUGGUCGCGCUCCUUUCUUCCCCAGAAUCACUUCUGAUCUUCAGAGGAGGGUUUGCGCUGCUGGCCGGUGGCACCCUGAUUUCAGGACUGAAGGCUGUUGCGACCUGAUGAGAACUUUCCCUACAUAAGUUCACAGUAGGAACGGUAAAGGGCUGUUGCCACGGCUCACUCGGCAGGGUGUUUGCCCAGCGUACCUGAAGCUGUGUUUGACCCCCACCAUUGCCUAAAACUGGGUAUGGCAGUGUGUACCUGUGAUUGCAGCAGGACGCAGAAGCAGGUGGGUCAGAAGUUCAGGGUUAUAUUUCACUACAGAAACGAUUUGAGACUAGCUUGGACUGCAUGAAACUCUGUAGUUUCAAAAAAAAACAAACAAACAAACAAAAAAAACAACCCGAUCAAUCAACAAACAAUAAAACAAAACAACAAAAACCAAGUAAAGCAAAGAAACAAACAAACACAACCAAACCCUCCUAAACCAAAACCAAGCACAUGAAGGCUCCAUCCCACUUCUGAUGCUCACCCGCCCACUCACCCAUUCUCCUCUGCUUAGUACAUAGCAACUACAAUGGAUGGGGUGGCCUAGAGUGAAUGAGGAAGGUGCUCCCCAUCCCUUUCCAGGUGCUCCCCACCCCACUCCAGGGCUGGGGAGUGAAACCAGUAUAACCCAAACCCUAAAGCAAAGGACCCGUAUGCGUUAAAAUUUCCCCAGGAAUCCAAGGCAGGGGUGGAAAAGGCUGAAGCCCUGGUACAGGGGAGAAACUUAUCCGCAGCUGAGACUUCACACUGCUCUGACAGCUUAGCUCACAGUUAAACUGACAUGAGCAUUCCUGGCUUUCGUUUCACCUUCUCUGUAAAUCUAUAACUCUGAUCAGGAAAGGCAGAGAGAAACUAGAAAUCUUUCUCUCCCCUGUUAGGCUGAACUCUAAAUAAAUCCACAUACUUUAUCAGUGUCUAUAUCCUAAUUUCUUUGGAAUACAGGAAAACUGUUUUUGUUUGUUUGUUUUCUGAGACAGGGUUUCUCUGUAUAACCAUGGCUGUCCUGGACUCACUUUGUAGACCAGGCUGGCCUCGAACUCACAGAGAUCCACCUGCCUCUGGGAUUAAAUGUGUGCACCACCACAACCCAACUUAAUAAAGGGAAAUGUAUUCAUUUA